GUUAUAUGGUCAAGUGAAUAAGCGCAUACGGUGGAUGCCUUGGCAGUCAGAGGCGAUGAAAGACGUGGUAGCCUGCGAUAAGCUUCGGGGAGUCGGCAAACAGACUUUGAUCCGGAGAUCUCUGAAUGGGGGAACCCACUCAGCAUAAGCUGGGUAUCUUGUACUGAAUCCAUAGGUACAAGAGGCGAACCAGGGGAACUGAAACAUCUAAGUACCCUGAGGAAAAGAAAUCAACCGAGAUUCCCUUAGUAGUGGCGAGCGAACGGGGACCAGCCCUUAAGUUGAUUUGAGAUUAGCGGAACGCUCUGGAAAGUGCGGCCAUAGUGGGUGAUAGCCCUGUACGCGAAAAUCUCUUUUCAAUGAAAUCGAGUAGGACGGAGCACGAGAAACUUUGUCUGAACAUGGGGGGACCAUCCUCCAAGGCUAAAUACUACUGACUGACCGAUAGUGAACCAGUACCGUGAGGGAAAGGCGAAAAGAACCCCGGAGAGGGGAGUGAAAUAGAACCUGAAACCGUAUGCGUACAAGCAGUGGGAGCAGACUUGUUCUGUGACUGCGUACCUUUUGUAUAAUGGGUCAGCGACUUAUAUUCAGUGGCGAGCUUAACCGAAUAGGGGAGGCGUAGCGAAAGCGAGUCUUAAUAGGGCGUUUAGUCGCUGGGUAUAGACCCGAAACCGGGCGAUCUAUCCAUGGGCAGGUUGAAGGUUAGGUAACACUGACUGGAGGACCGAACCGACUACCGUUGAAAAGUUAGCGGAUGACCUGUGGAUCGGAGUGAAAGGCUAAUCAAGCUCGGAGAUAGCUGGUUCUCCUCGAAAGCUAUUUAGGUAGCGCCUCAUGUAUCACUGUAGGGGGUAGAGCACUGUUUCGGCUAGGGGGUCAUCCCGACUUACCAAACCGAUGCAAACUCCGAAUACCUACAAGUGCCGAGCAUGGGAGACACACGGCGGGUGCUAACGUCCGUCGUGAAAAGGGAAACAACCCAGACCGUCAGCUAAGGUCCCAAAGUUAUGGUUAAGUGGGAAACGAUGUGGGAAGGCUUAGACAGCUAGGAGGUUGGCUUAGAAGCAGCCACCCUUUAAAGAAAGCGUAAUAGCUCACUAGUCGAGUCGGCCUGCGCGGAAGAUGUAACGGGGCUCAAACCAUACACCGAAGCUACGGGUGUCACGCAAGUGACGCGGUAGAGGAGCGUUCUGUAAGCCUGUGAAGGUCAGUUGAGAAGCUGGCUGGAGGUAUCAGAAGUGCGAAUGCUGACAUGAGUAACGACAAUGCGAGUGAAAAACUCGCACGCCGAAAAACCAAGGUUUCCUGCGCAACGUUAAUCGACGCAGGGUUAGUCGGUCCCUAAGGCGAGGCUGAAAAGCGUAGUCGAUGGAAAACAGGUUAAUAUUCCUGUACUUCUGGUUACUGCGAUGGAGGGACGGAGAAGGCUAGGCCAGCUUGGCGUUGGUUGUCCAAGUUUAAGGUGGUAGGCUGAGAUCUUAGGUAAAUCCGGGAUCU
rnacentral:rRNA from 1 species